rnacentral:lncRNA from 1 species
UCUCAAGUGAUCCCUUUUUUUCCCCACACAGAAAACUGCCUUGAGAUUAAAAAAAAAAAUCUGGAAAACACCAACUCAAAAAAAAAAAGGAAAUUCUGAAUUUUGUGAAAUCUUACAUAGUAGCAGCUCUGCUGGGACCAAAAAAUCAUGACAAUUUUCAUUGAUUCCUUUAUGGAGUAACACCGCUUGUAACGGUUUCACCAGACGACCCAGAAGAGGGCAGCUUCCUGUCUGUAUCUGCCCAAUAAGUGCAGGAAAGUGUAACCAAGCAAUGCCAAUUCCAGACACAUUCCUUGGUUUGUAUCUUGGCCACAUCCAGAGUAUUGACGUACAUCUCAUACAGCAUCCAUGUCUUCCGACUGCUGAUGUUCUCUCCGACGCGGGCAACCCUCUCCAACUGGCUUCGCUUUGCCUGCUGAGCCUGUGUCUGAGGGCCGACAUUGGCCUCAGAUCUGAACUUACACUGAGGUUUUGUCUUCCCUGUAAUCCCUCUUAAGUUUUGUGAAAGACUGAACACCCCAACUAGCUUAUCACAGCCCCUACUGGUCUGGCCAGAGGGAAUCUCUCUUUUGGGGUAAACUUUACAGCAGCUGCCCAGAGACUCUGAGCUCUGUCAAAGAAGCUGUGUACCUGGAAGGCAGACUCUUCAGAUGGAGGCACUCUGAUUUGGCUAAAAGCAACUUUGCUAAAUUUUUUUUGCUAAAAGAAGCUGACUAAAGAAAAAGGCACAGGAUCUUUCACUCCUCCUGGUGGUCUUCCAUGUUUGGAAUUCUGUGCCUCAGGGAGAGAUAUUUCUCCAGUAACGUUUAUGUUCAACAUCAGUGGCAGAAGAUUUCAAGGUGCCCAAAUGAGUAAUUCCAGUAGAAACGGAAGGUUGGACAAAGUUUCUUCUCAUCAUGAAGCAUGAUCCUGUGAAUUUAACUCUGUCAAACAAGCUGGCCUUGGCAUUUGAUUGUACAACCUUCAACAUCAACAGACCCUGAGGUUCCUCCCUUCCCUCCAAAUCAUCUCCCUCCAGUGAAAAAUGUAAGCGGUCGAUGCGAAUGAAGGC